GAGUUUGAUCUUGGCUCAGAUUGAACGCUGGCGGCAUGCUUUACACAUGCAAGUCGAACGGUAACGCGGGGGCAACCCUGGCGACGAGUGGCGAACGGGUGAGUAAUACAUCGGAACGUGUCCUGGAGUGGGGGAUAGCUCGGCGAAAGCCGGAUUAAUACCGCAUACGCUCUGAGGAGGAAAGCGGGGGACCUUCGGGCCUCGCGCUGCGGGAGCGGCCGAUGUCGGAUUAGCUAGUUGGUGGGGUAAAGGCCUACCAAGGCGACGAUCCGUAGCUGGUCUGAGAGGAUGAUCAGCCACACUGGGACUGAGACACGGCCCAGACUCCUACGGGAGGCAGCAGUGGGGAAUUUUGGACAAUGGGGGCGAACCCUGAUCCAGCCAUGCCGCGUGAGUGAAGAAGGCCUUCGGUUGUAAG
rnacentral:rRNA from 1 species